AUUCCAGCUCCAAUAGCGUAUAUUAAAGUUGUUGCAGUUAAAAAGCUCGUAGUCGGAUUUUGGCAUCACGCCGAACUGUCAGCCGAUUGGUUUGUACGGUUUGGCGGGUGCUCUCCUUCCGGAAGCUCGUUCCCUUCUUAGUUGACGGGUUCGAUGGUUCCGGGUCUUUUACUUUGAAAAAAUUAGAGUGUUCAAAGCAGGCCUAUGCUCUGAAUAGGUUAGCAUGGAAUAAUAGAAUAGGACUUUGGUUCUAUUUUGUUGGUUUCUAGGACCGAAGUAAUGAUUAAUAGGGACAGUUGGGGGCAUUCAUAUUCCAAUGUCAGAGGUGAAAUUCCUGGAUUAUCGGAAGAUGAACUUCUGCGAAAGCAUCUGCCAAGGAUGUUUUCAUCA
rnacentral:rRNA from 1 species